UCCAAGAAGUCUCUCUAGGACAGGAAUGACAUGAUCACAUUACAAAGAAUCCUGGUUGUGGGACAGAGAGACUCUGGCAGAAGAGAGAGCUGUUACUGGCCAAUCGUGAUUUAUUAUCUCCACAAUUACAUGGGCAGUUCUUAUGCUCUCAGUGGUAGUGGCUACAUUCAGUGGAAGCUCAGCUGGGACACCUCGUUUCUCCAUGUGGCCUCUCUCUGCAUGUGGUGUCUCAUCCUCCAGGGCAUCUCCACCUGGCCUCUCUCCAGCAGGACAGCCUGGACUUCCUCACAACAUGGCAGCUGGGAUCCAAGGAGCUUUCCAAGAAAACAGGCUUCAUCCUGUCAAUCUGCCAAAACGGGAGGACUGCCAUGGCAAUGGGAGAGAACGGAAUGCCGUUCCAGACUGUCCUGAAGUCCAACAGCACCAAGAGGAAAUGAUACACUAUGACCUCAACAUCGUCACCAAGAAAAUGGUUGCAGACAGGGCUACGAUGGUUUGUGUCUACCCUGGGAACAAUCUCCACAAUUGGAAGGGAUGCCUACCUCCAGCUUGAUG